AUGAUCUGUGUUGGUGAUGAAUUGAGACACUCAAAGGCUAAGAGAUGUUUGACUCAAAAGCCAAGAGAAGAAACAAAUUGCAACUUAUGUUGCGGCGUCGGUGUUGAUGUUGUGUUUGUCGCGAAUAGUUUGGUAGAGGUCGAACCUGGAAUCAUGGUUGAGAAUAUUGCUGCAGAUUGGUUUGAAGUUGGCGGAAGAUUUUAUGAUGUUUGUGCAAAAAUUUUGUAG